rnacentral:lncRNA from 1 species
GUUUUCCCAGGGGUGUCUGCCUCUCUGAAGGUUUAGCUCUCCCUCCCAUGGGAUUUGGGUGCAGAGAACUGUUUAUCCAGUCUGUCCCUUCAGGUUCUGGUGGUGUCUCAGAUGCAGCGGACCUGCUGCUCCUGGGCCCUCCUCUACGGGAACCCAGAGGCCGUAUACAGUUUCCUCUUGGGCCAGGGAUGUGAGCAGGGGUGGGCAGUGUUGGUGGUCUCUUCCGUUCUGCAGCCUCAGGAGUGCCCACCUAACCAGGCGGUGAGGUCUCUCUCCCACGGGGUUUGGGAGCAGAGAGCUGCUGCGUGCAGGGAUCUGCUGGUUUGGGACUCCCCCCCACCCCCGGCCUAUGUAUUAAUUAGAAGAAUCCCACAGAGGCUGUCUGAGCUGUCCAUGUACUCCAGCCCUUGUUUACCAUCUCUAACUUCCUUUAUGAUAGUUAAUCAUCCUUUCCCUGGUUUGUCACCAAGGAAAUAGUCAUAAUCAAUUAAUCAAUGUCAUUAUGCUUUUUUCCCUCUCUAGCUUCUUGGGUCAAAAUUCUGAUUGUGAGCCUAUCAUUACUUUUUGUUCCCAGGGCGCUGAGUUCAUUCUUUUUUUUUUUUUUUUUAAUCUUUAUAAACUUGAGUAUUUGUUAUUUACAUUUCUAUUGUUAUUUUCCUUCCCUUCCUGGUU